ensembl:lncRNA
CAUGGGCUUCUGGAGAAACAAUACACCAGUGGAGCAGUACUCUUACAACCUGAGGACAUUUUAAUUUCUUAUAUUGGGCCAUGUCCUGAGCACAACCAUCACACCAGGCAAGGGCUUUUCAGUUGGUCCCAAACUGGGGUUCAGCGCAACACCUCACUUUCCUGUGUGGGAAACCCUAAAAAGUUAGCCUAUAGGCAAUGUCUUCUGGAUGCAAACGUUGGAGCUCUUUGGAAAUCUCCAGACCUGCGGCAAUGCCAGGUUGUGGUCAACAGUGUGUCAGACCUGGAGGACAUUACAGUCACUUAUGACAAUGCAGAAGAUAUUCUGAUCAUGAUUGAGGACUUGAUACAUGAGAACAAAAAUCUGGAUGAGUACGAGCUCUCAACGGUACUCAAUAAACUAGCUGAUGUGAUUAACGUUAGUGUGAUCACGCCUCCGCUGGGAGAGGUCAUCAUCAACAUCACAUCUGACAUCCUGGAGUCUGACAGCAACCUGCUGCCUUUCACCAACAGCAUUCUGAACAUCACAGAGUCUGUCGGAGACCAGAUGUUAGGGUUCAGUGGAGAGUCAUUCAGCUUAACAGCUCCUGCCUUAGCAAUAUCAGUGGUCAAUAUUG